rnacentral:misc_RNA from 1 species
GAUGAAGAACGUAGCGAAAUGCGAUAAGUAAUGUGAAUUGCAGAAUUCAGUGAAUCAUCGAAUCUUUGAACGCACAUUGCGCCCGCCAGUAUUCUGGCGGGCAUGCCUGUUCGAGCGUCAUUUCAACCAUCAAGCCCCAGGCUUGUGUUGGGGACCUGCGGCUGCCGCAGGCCCUGAAAACCAGUGGCGGGCUCGCUGUCACACCGGGCGUAGUAGAUUUUAUCUCGCUCUGGGCGUGCUGCGGGUUCCGGCCGUUAAAAAACCCUUUUAACCCAAGGUUGACCUCGGAUCAGGUAGGAAUACACGCUGAACUUAAGCAUAUCAAUAAGCGGAGGA